rnacentral:rRNA from 1 species
AUUGAACGCUGGCGGCAUGCUUUACACAUGCAAGUCGAACGGCAGCGCGGGCUUCGGCCUGGCGGCGAGUGGCGAACGGGUGAGUAAUACAUCGGAACGUGCCCAGCAGUGGGGGAUAGCUCGGCGAAAGCCGGAUUAAUACCGCAUACGACCUGAGGGUGAAAGCGGGGGAUCUUCGGACCUGGCGCUAUUGGAGCGGCCGAUGGCAGAUUAGCUAGUUGGUGGGGUAAAGGCCUACCAAGGCGACGAUCUGUAGCUGGUCUGAGAGGACGACCAGCCACACUGGGACUGAGACACGGCCCAGACUCCUACGGGAGGCAGCAGUGGGGAAUUUUGGACAAUGGGCGAAAGCCUGAUCCAGCAAUGCCGCGUGUGUGAUGAAGGCCUUCGGGUUGUAAAGCACUUUUGGCGGGAACGAAAAGGACUGUGCCAAUACCACGGUUCGAUGACGGUACCCGCAGAAUAAGCACCGGCUAACUACGUG